rnacentral:rRNA from 1 species
GACGAACGCUGGCGGCGUGCUUAACACAUGCAAGUCGAACGGAAAGGCCCUGCUUUUGUGGGGUGCUCGAGUGGCGAACGGGUGAGUAACACGUGAGUAACCUGCCCUUGACUUUGGGAUAACUUCAGGAAACUGGGGCUAAUACCGGAUAGGAGCUCCUGCUGCAUGGUGGGGGUUGGAGAGUUUCGGCGGUUGGGGAUGGACUCGCGGCUUAUCAGCUUGUUGGUGGGGUAGUGGCUUACCAAGGCUUUGACGGGUAGCCGGCCUGAGAGGGUGACCGGCCACAUUGGGACUGAGAUACGGCCCAGACUCCUACGGGAGGCAGCAGUGGGGAAUAUUGCACAAUGGGCGGAAGCCUGAUGCAGCAACGCCGCGUGCGGGAUGACGGCCUUCGGGUUGUAAACCGCUUUCGCCUGUGACGAAGCGUGAGUGACGGUAAUGGGUAAAGAAGCACCGGCUAAUUACGUG